rnacentral:rRNA from 1 species
UACGUAGGGGUCUAGCGUUGUCCGGAUUUAUUGGGCGUAAAGAGCUCGUAGGCGGUUUGGUAAGUCUGGUGUGAAAUCUCCACGCUCAACGUGGAGGGGCCACCCGAUACUGCCAUGACUGGAGUCCGGUAGAGGAGUGUGGAAUUCCCGGUGUAGCGGUGAAAUGCGCAGAUAUCGGGAGGAACACCAAUGGCGAAGGCAGCUCGCUGGGACGUGACUGACGCUGAGACGCGAAAGCGUGGGGAGCAAACAGGG